rnacentral:rRNA from 1 species
AUUGAACGCUGGCGGCAGGCCUAACACAUGCAAGUCGAGCGAGCGGCGGACGGGUGAGUAAUGUAUGGGGACUGCCCGAUAGAGGGGGAUAACUACUGGAAACGGUGGCUAAUACCGCAUACUAUCGGAUAACCCAUAUGGGAUUAGCUAGUAGGUGGGGUAAAGGCUCACCUAGGCGACGAUCUCUAGCUGGUCUGAGAGGAUGAUCAGGCAAAAUGGGACUGAGAGGCGGCCCAGAAUCCUACGGAGGAAGCAGUUGGGAAUGUUUCACAAUGGGCGCAAACCUGAUGCAGCCAUGCCGCGUAAAUGAAGAAGGCUUUAGGGUUUUAAAGUACUUUAAAGUGAGAGGCGUUACCAACAGAAUAAGCACCGGCUAACUUCGUGCCAGCAGCCGCAGUAAUAC